AAUUUGUUUAAGCACUACAGGAACUUUAUGAGCUCAUAUACCUGGAAAUGUAAAGCCUCACACCUGUUGCUAGCGUGCGACCACCGUCACGAUGUCCUUUCAUGGACCCUUAGAUCAGCCUGGACCGUCUACCCCUGCCAGACUACCCUAUUGGCCCUAAUGCCUAAGGGAUGGUUGCAAAUCAGCUUCUCCACCUCAGGAAGCCUGGGAACAUGGCCAACACGGAUGCAGCGGUGCUCAAGCUGUGUCCUUGGGGUCACCUUGAAGGAUAACUACCUGCAACAAGGAGGAGGAGGAGCUGGAACCCAAGCUGGUGCAUCUGGGAAGCUGGCUCCAGGGCCACCCUGACCUGUUCAUUUCAUCUGUGUAUCGUGCAUCUGGAAAAGUCUUCAUCUGAAGAGUAACAGUCAUGGCUGCAAGAGUUUCGGAAAAGUACCAGGCCAUCUAGCCAUUGUCGAUUCUUCCCCCACUGCAUAGCAAGAGAUGAACCUGACACCAGCCAGCUCGGGCAGUUCCGGAACAUGGACCCUGGAUUUUGUGUGGGGCAGGCAGCUCCCGCUUGUCCGAGGCUUAGGAGGUUCCAGCCAUCUUGGAGGCAUCAUUCUGACCUUCACAGGGACCAGGGUCAAGACAGCUGCAAGAAGGAAAAGGAGUUUCCGAAGCGCAAUGGGAAACCCUGAACAGAUUGUCAGCAGAAGCCCAAGGUCACCUGAGGCAGAACUUUCCGCUCCGCCUGACAGCGCUUUCCAAGCCUGUCCCUUACCCGGCCGCUGCUCCGUCUGUCUCGGCCUUAGCUCCAGUCUUACUGGUCCAGAGGAUGCCAGUUCUACCACGAAAGAUGCCCUCCUCUCGCUCCCAAGUCCCACAGUGUCAUCUCUGCUUCACUGUCUGCCUGACACUCCUCAUUUUGAGGCAGAUCCCCAGAAGGAAACUGGUGGGAAAGUAGGAGGAAAGGCUGAGCAUCCUUGCUUCACCUCAACCUUCCACCGUGAUGCGCCUGCCUUGGAACUGGCCAGCCACAGACUGAAUCCCUUUAAAACUACAGGGCUCUGGAGUCCCCAUGAUGUGCAUGUCCUCACCCACCCCUGGAACCUCUGAGCAUGUGAUUUUAGCUCUUCUCCACCAGGCCCUUUCACCUUGCGAUUUCUCCUUUGGAAUCUCCCCACCAUGGACGGAAACUUCUGAAACUCUGAGUUCAAAUAAACCUGUCCUCCUUUAAGUUGUGGCGUCAAGUGUUGUGCCUCAGCGGUGAGAAAAGUGCGACGAAGAUGUGCUGAUUGCCAAGCUCUGGGCUUGGCUUUUCCAGGACAGUGG
rnacentral:lncRNA from 1 species